rnacentral:rRNA from 1 species
AUUGAACGCUGGCGGCAGGCCUAACACAUGCAAGUCGAGCGGAGCGGCGGACGGGGGAGGAAUGCCUAGGAAUCUGCAUGGUAGUGGGGGAUAACGUCCAGAAACGGGCGCUAAUACCGCAUACUCUCAGAUGAGACUAGGUCGGAUUAGCUAGUUGGUGGGGUAAAGGCAUACCAAGGCGACGAUCCGUAACUGGUCUGAGAGGAUGAUCAGUCACACUGUAACUGAGACACGGUCCAGACUCCUACGGGAGGCAGCAGUGGGGAAUAUUGGACAAUGGGCGAAAGCCUGAUCCAGCCAUGCCGCGUGUGUGAAGAAGGUCUUCGGAUUGUAAAGCACUUUAAGUUGGGAGGCGGUACCAACAGAAUAAGCACCGGCUAACUUCGUGCCAGCAGCCGCGGUAAUUC